AAUCCAUGAUGCGGGCAUAAUCUGAGCAUUCCCUUGAAUCUGUCACAGGCAUUGUAUAGGGAUUCACUAUCGUUCUAUCUGAAGCUUGCUAUUAGAUUCCUCAUGUGGGU